rnacentral:rRNA from 1 species
AAUAGCCUAACGGCUGAACCAGCAACUUGGAGGAAUGAAUAGCAUUAGCUAAUUGUACAAAUAUAUGAUGCAAUAUUGACUCAGUCGAAUAAAAUUCUGGCUAGAAUUAUGAUAAUGACAUUGUUUAGCCAUGUGCCUUGACCAAAUUACGUGCCAGCAGUCGCGGUAAUACGUAGAAGACUAGUGUUAUUCAUCUUUAAUAGGUUUAAAGAGUACCUAGGCGGUAAAUCAAGCCCUAGACGGGACUAAUUUGCUAGAGUUACUUAUACGGGGGUUUUAAAGUACUAAUGGUGUAGAGAUAAAAUUUUGUAAUACCAUUUUUUGAAAGAAAAGUGAUGGCACUGGUAAAGGCGAAAGCAUCCCCUUAUGUGAUAACUGACGUUGAAGGACGAAGGCUUUGGAUCGCGAAUAGGAUUAGAUACCCUAGUAGUCGAAGCAGAAAAUUAUGAAUGUCAUAGAUUAGAGAUUAAUUUUAUUCUAUAAAUGAAAGUGUAAACAUUCCACCUCAAGAGUAAUUUGGCAACAUUGAAACUGAAAUCAUUAGACCGUUUCUGAAACCAGUAGUGAAGUAUGUUGUUUAAUUUGAUAGUCCGCAAAAAACCUUACCACAGCUUGAAUAUUUAUAUAUUUAUAUAUAUUUACAAGCGUUGCACGGCUGUCUUCAGUUAAUGUCGCGAGAUUUUGGUUAGAUCCAUUAAAUUAACGUAAGCCCUUACUUUAUUUAUAAAUAAAGUAGUUCCCCACUAUAUUGGAUAUGAUAACAGGGACUAAGACAAGUCAUCAUGGCCUGAAUGCUGU